rnacentral:rRNA from 1 species
GGCUCAGAAUGAACGAUUGGCGGCAUGGAUUAGGCAUGCAAGUCGAGCGAGAACUUGUAGAUUGAAACUUCGGUUGAUGUCUACAAGGGACAGCGGCGCAUGGGAGAGUAACGCGUAGUUAUCUACCCCCAAGUCUAGGAUAGCCACGGGAAACUGUGGGUAAUACUGGAUAAUAUCUCCGGAUCAAAGGUGUGAUUCCGCUUGGGGAGGAGACUGCGUACUACUAGCUUGUUGGUGGGGUAAUGGCCUACCAAGGCUUUGAUGGUUAGCGGGCGUGAGAGCGUGGCCCGUCUCACUGGGACUGAAACACUGCCCAGACAUCUACGGAUGGCUGCAGUCGAGAAUCUUCGGCAAUGGGCGAAAGCCUGACCGAGCGAUGCCGCGUGCGGGAUGAAGGCCUUCGGGUUGUAAACCGCUGUCAGUAGGGAGGAAGGGUCUGCGAAGAGCAGACUUUGACCUAUCUUCAGAGGAAGUCCGGGCUAAGUUCGUGCCAGCAGCCGCGGUAACACGAACCGGACAAACGUUAUUCGGAAUUAUUGGGCUUAAAGGGUCUGUAGGCGGCGAUGUAGGUGGGGUGUGAAAUCCCUCGGCUCAACCGAGGAACUGCGCUCCAAACCACAUUGCUAGAGGGAGACAGAGGUAAGCGGAACUGAUGGUGGAGCGGUGAAAUGCGUUGAUAUCAUCAGGAACACCAGUGGCGAAAGCGGCUUACUGGGUCUCUUCUGACGCUGAGAAACGAAAGCUAGGGUAGCGAACGGGAUUAGAUACCCCGGU